rnacentral:rRNA from 1 species
UACGUAGGGUGCAAGCGUUAUCCGGAAUUAUUGGGCGUAAAGAGCUCGUAGGCGGUCUGUCGCGUCGGCUGUGAAAACCCGAGGCUCAACCUCGGGCCUGCAGUCGAUACGGGCAGACUAGAGUGCUGUAGGGGAGACUGGAAUUCCUGGUGUAGCGGUGAAAUGCGCAGAUAUCAGGAGGAACACCGGUGGCGAAGGCGGGUCUCUGGGCAGUAACUGACGCUGAGGAGCGAAAGCGUGGGGAGCGAACAGG